rnacentral:rRNA from 1 species
AGAGUUUGAUCCUGGCUCAGAACGAACGCUGGCGGCAUGCCUAACACAUGCAAGUCGAACGAGACCUUCGGGUCUAGUGGCGCACGGGUGCGUAACGCGUGGGAAUCUGCCCUUGGGUUCGGAAUAACAGUUAGAAAUGACUGCUAAUACCGGAUGAUGACUUCGGUCCAAAGAUUUAUCGCCCAGGGAUGAGCCCGCGUCGGAUUAGCUAGUUGGUGAGGUAACGGCCCACCAAGGCCAAGAUCGGUAGCCGGCCUGAGAGGGCACACGGCCACACUGGCACUGAAAUACGGGCCAGACUCCUACGGGAGGCAGCAGUGGGGAAUCUUGCACAAUGGGGGAAACCCUGAUGCAGCGACGCCGCGUGAGCGAUGAAGCCCUUCGGGGUGUAAAGCUCUUUCGGCAGGAACGAUUAUGACGGUACCUGCAGAAGAAGCUGCGGCUAACUACGUGCCAGCAGCCGCGGUAAUACGUAGGCAGCGAGCGUUGUUCGGAGUUACUGGGCGUAAAGAGUAUGUAGGCGGUUUCGUAAGUUUGGUGUGAAAUCUCCCGGCUUAACUGGGAGGGUGCGCCGAAAACUGCGAGGCUAGAGUGCGGGAGAGGAGAGCGGAAUUCCUGGUGUAGCGGUGAAAUGCGUAGAUAUCAGGAGGAACACCGGCGGUGUAGACGGCUCUCUGGACCGUUACUGACGCUGAGAUACGAAAGCGUGGGUAGCAAACAGGAUUAGAUACCCUGGUAGUCCACGCCCUAAACGAUGCACACUUGGUGUGAGCAGUUCAUUCUGUUCGUGCCGGAGCUAA